rnacentral:lncRNA from 1 species
UUUGCAGCUGUCAAUUGCAAUGCGCAGAGCCAUUUUAUUUUUUAUGAGGGCUUUUUCAACGAGACAUUUCUCAUCUGGAAUCAAGUCACAAAAUUCCACAGGAAACUUUGUUGACAGGAGAAUUAUGUGUGUUUUUCUUGGGUCUCUUUUUGAGGUGUACAGAUGAAUCCAAGACUGUAGUAAGAAUCAGUUUAUAACAAAUGAAUGGGUAGCACGGCUGUUAGAGUUAAUAUGUAUCCAGUCAGGUAAAAAAUUGUGUAAUCCUACCUCUCUGCCCUGUCGGCCAAUUCAUGAGAUGAAGGCCUCCUCGCCAGAUGUCAUCUGGGAGUGUUCCUGGCUCUUCUAGAGACAGCAUGAUGAUCUAUCUCCUUGCUGGUGUUGCUGCUUUUGGUGGUUUAUUUUAUGUAAAGUAGUCAGUUCAUCCCGCAGCAAGUUUGUUGAACAUUCAAGUAUUCUUCGUGAGAGAACCGAGGGGCAGAACAGCAAUCCUUGGUCAAGGAAGGACACAAGGGAAAUCUCUUUCCAAACCUGAGGAAGUUAAAUACAAACAAAGGACAAUCGUUUACCAUUAAGUACAUUGCAGCCUACCUUGGGAUGACUUUGUGCCUUCUAUUGUAAAGCCCCAAUUGUGUGAGACUUUAAAAGAACUAUCUAUGUUUGCAAGGCCAAACCAUAUUGAGCUUAUUACUGAAUCUGCUUUGUAGAAGGCAGUUCUGAGAUGGAGAAGCUGGCUGUUCUGAAUUAAUGCACUCUAUAUUUGACUGUCCAAUAAAGUGUACUGAAUGCUGAUCUUGGCUGUUAACCUGUUCUUUAUGUAAUGAGUUAACGAUUUUUUUUAAAACAGUGUUUUCUUAAAGGGACAUGAUCAGGUUUCAUAAUGCAAAGUUUUGAUUUUUACUGAGCAAUGAAUGGGCUUGUCUUGAAACCUGAACCAAAAUUAUAGGCUUUCACUGGCAUAAGAAGAUCAAGAAAUAAAAUCGAUCUGUUUGGUUUUUAAACAGAUACAAAAGACUCAAACAAACUCUGACUGUGUCUCUUUAAGAUCUUUUGUUUCAAUUCUCACAUAGCUUACACUGUGUUACAAACUUAUUUCUGUUUUUUUUUACGUGGUGAGUCGGUUCUAGUGGUGAACUUGUGACGAACAGCUGAUGAACAGUUAUACUGUUGAUGAACAGUAUAACUUUUCCUUCGUGAACAUAAUGUUAGCGCAUGUUUGCAUGGUGGUUGAGCAUCUAUCUUGCUUUGUGCUGUUAGUUUUUCAUGACUUGUCUCAGCUGAAUUUGAAGUCAUGCAUGGCUGGGAAACAUUGUUUUUCAGGUUCUAAAGAGUUGGACCCAAAGUGGUGUAAACAAGUCUUUAAAAGAUAGUUGUGAGUUGUAAAAAGAAAAUAGUCAGUUCUAAGUGGUCAUAUAUCUAAGAAAGAGAGCUCUGACCACUUGAAAUUAGGAAGUUAUUUUCUCACUUGUAUAAAACCAAAUGUCUUCUUCCCCACGUGGUUAUUCCACAGUGUCAUGCUCCCUCUGGCACCUGUGUGUGUACCAUCACUGGCCCUUUCUGCAGAGUGGUUUCAAGCAACACUUGACAAUGUCCUUUGUUAUCCUUCCCUGCUCCCCCAACAAUUGCUUUAAGCCACAGUUUCUUUUCGUAUCACACUGAAACAUGUUAUGAAACUCAGUAAUUAAGAAUAUGGUUUCCUCAUCUUAUAAACAUAGUUUUUUGAUGCCAAAUCAGACAAUAUGAGGGAUUAAUUAUUGAUCUUUUUGUUAAUUCUGAUCCCAAGUCUUAGCUUUCCACUUCAAAUUUAAAUGAGGAUGAUGAUAAAAAGUAGUUGGUGAAUUUUUUGUUGCAUGCAUGCAUUUUACUCUCUUUAUUGUAUUGAAUAAAUUCUUAGAAGGUGAUGGAGAAGAGGUGCAUGAAGUCACUGAAGCAGAGAAGGCCACGGAAAAAGCUGAUGCAGCAGCUGCUGUUGGACCUGCAGCACAGGAUGAGAGUGCUGGACCCAGAGUACAGGAUGAGACUUCUGGGGUAUCUCCAGAAGCUGGAGGGGAGAAUGACUUACUGCCUCCAGAAGUAUCCCAUGCUAUGGAGGAAGAACAGCAGGAAGCUGCUGCUAAUUCAGAAGCUGCUGCUAAUUUGGAACUUGCUGCUAAUUCAGAAGCUGCUGCAGUUCAAGGUUAACUUAUGAAUGUAGUUUUUGAGUGUGUGUGUCUUGUGGGUUCUAAAGCUCUGCCUCUUACAGAACAUUAAGAACAAGCAUCAGUGUUCCUAAUGGGGUUUGCCCUGCAGUGAAAACUAAUUCAGGCAUUAACAUUGACAUAUCAUGAGCCUGAGGUAAUCAAGUUUAUUAAAUCAGGGUCUCUGAAAGCAUUCCACCUCUGGCACCAGAGUUACUGUCUAAAAGAAGUAGAGUCAAAUGUUUAUUUUACUACCCCAACCUAUUUAUUAAGUUGAGCUUAUAAUGUGAUCAGUUAAACAGUUUUUUAGUGAUCUAGUUCUCAACGGUUUGUUAAGGAAUCUAAACACUCUAGUUCACUAGCCAUUCCAAAGAUAUUCACACUGAAUAAUUAAAUUUGUUCUAUCAAUGUAACUUAAACAGGAUCUUGCAUAGCAAAGAAAAUGCUGCCAUGUUUUCAAUUCUAAGGAUAUAUUAGAUUACAUUUUCACAACACAAUAAAACAUUGAAUUGUUGUUAAACACUGAAAUUGGUAAGUGGCAAAGCAUUCAGUAUUUUGAGCUGUUGGUGUUUGAAAUAUUUUGGUUUAUUGUGCUUUAAAAACAAUUGCAAUAGUAUAAAUGCAAAACUAUCCAUAAAAUGCACAAGAUACAGGAUUAUAAUUUAAUUUUUCAGAUUUUUAAGUAUUUAAAAAAAAUUUCUUGUUACCACUGGUCUUGAGAGGAUAUUUCUAAAACACAGAUCAAACUGAGAUUAAAAGUAUUUUGGCUGC